GCAGUCGAACGGAGUUGAGGGGCUUGCUCCUCAAUUUAGUGGCGCACGGGUGAGUAACGCGUAGAUAAUCUGCCUGAUGAUCUGGGAUAACACUUCGAAAGGGGUGCUAAUACCGGAUAAGCCCACGGGGUCUUUGGAUUCUGCGGGAAAAGGGGGGGACCUUCGGGCCUUCUGUCAUCAGAUGAGUCUGCGUACCAUUAGCUAGUUGGUAGGGUAAUGGCCUACCAAGGCUACGAUGGUUAGCUGGUUUGAGAGAAUGAUCAGCCACACUGGAACUGAGACACGGUCCAGACUCCUACGGGAGGCAGCAGUGGGGAAUUUUGCGCAAUGGGCGAAAGCCUGACGCAGCAACGCCGCGUGAGUGAUGAAGGCUUUCGGGUCGUAAAGCUCUGUCGAGGGGAAAGAAGUGUAUUGUGGCUAAUAUCCACGAUACUUGACGGUACCCCUAAAGGAAGCACCGGCUAACUCCGUGCCAGCAGCCGCGGUAAUACGGGGGGUGCAAGCGUUGUUCGGAAUUAUUGGGCGUAAAGAGCGUGUAGGCGGUUUGUUAAGUCUGUUGUGAAAGCCCUGGGCUCAACCCAGGAAGUGCACUGGAUACUGGCAGACUUGAAUACGGGAGAGGGUAGUGGAAUUCCUAGUGUAGGAGUGAAAUCCGUAGAUAUUAGGAGGAACACCGGUGGCGAAGGCGGCUACCUGGACCGAUAUUGACGCUGAGACGCGAAAGCGUGGGUAGCAAACAGGAUUAGAUACCCUGGUAGUCCACGCCGUAAACGAUGAGAACUAGGUGUUGCGGGUAUUGACCCCUGCAGUGCCGCAGCUNACGCAUUAA
rnacentral:rRNA from 1 species